rnacentral:snoRNA from 1 species
ACCCUCUGGUUUCUUUUCCCAUCGGACUUCAAGAUGGUCUUGGUGGGAGUAAAGGAGAAAGAGCACAGUGAAGUAAGCUUCAGAGCACUCACAGCGGUCAUGUGAGAUUGAUUUAAACAGGU